CGGGGUGAGUAACGCGUGGGUAACCUGCCUCACACAGGGGAGUAACAGUUGGAAACGGCUGCUAAUACCGCAUAAGCGCACAGUACCGCAUGGUACAGUGUGAAAAACUCCGGUGGUGUGAGAUGGAUCCGCGUCUGAUUAGCUAGUUGGCAGGGCAACGGCCUACCAAGGCGACGAUCAGUAGCCGACCUGAGAGGGUGACCGGCCACAUUGGGACUGAGACACGGCCCAA
rnacentral:rRNA from 1 species